rnacentral:sRNA from 12 species
ACCCUGCUGCCGGACUGACCGGCAACCGAUAGCGAGAAUCGGGCAGGGU